AUUUUACGUCCCCCUCCCUUUGUACACACCGCCCGUCGCUACUACCGAUUGAAUGGCUCAGUGAGGCGUCCGGACUGGCCCAGAGAGGCGGGCAACUGCCACUCAGGGCCGGAAAGCUCUCCAAACUCGGUCAUUUAGAGGAAGUAAAAGUCGUAACAAGGUCUCCGUUGGUGAACCAGCGGAGGGAUCAUUA
rnacentral:rRNA from 1 species